UUUAGGAUUGAAGUUUUCGGAUGGAUUUCCUAUAUGACUGAGUGGCGGACGGGUGAGUAACGCGUGGGGAACCUGCCCUAUACAGGGGGAUAACAGCUGGAAACGGCUGCUAAUACCGCAUAAGCGCACAGAAUCGCAUGAUUCAGUGUGAAAAGCCCUGGCAGUAUAGGAUGGUCCCGCGUCUGAUUAGCUGGUUGGUGAGGUAACGGCUCACCAAGGCGACGAUCAGUAGCCGGCUUGAGAGAGUGAACGGCCACAUUGGGACUGAGACACGGCCCAAACUCCUACGGGAGGCAGCAGUGGGGAAUAUUGCACAAUGGGGGAAACCCUGAUGCAGCGACGCCGCGUGAGUGAAGAAGUAUUUCGGUAUGUAAAGCUCUAUCAGCAGGGAAGAAAACAGACGGUACCUGACUAAGAAGCCCCGGCUAACUACGUGCCAGCAGCCGCGGUAAUACGUAGGGGGCAAGCGUUAUCCGGAAUUACUGGGUGUAAAGGGUGCGUAGGUGGCAUGGUAAGUCAGAAGUGAAAGCCCGGGGCUUAACCCCGGGACUGCUUUUGAAACUGUCAUGCUGGAGUGCAGGAGAGGUAAGCGGAAUUCCUAGUGUAGCGGUGAAAUGCGUAGAUAUUAGGAGGAACACCAGUGGCGAAGGCGGCUUACUGGACUGUCACUGACACUGAUGCACGAA
rnacentral:rRNA from 1 species